CCAGUUAGCCUAGUGGUUAAGGCUACGGAUCGCCAAUCCGGAGACGGCGGGUUCGAUUCCCGUUCAUUGGA
rnacentral:tRNA from 1 species